UGGUGGUCACAUGUCUUCAGUGUCUU
rnacentral:piRNA from 1 species